CUACGGGAGGCAGCAGUGGGGAAUAUUGGACAAUGGGCGAAAGCCUGAUCCAGCCAUGCCGCGUGUGUGAAGAAGGCCUUCGGGUUGUAAAGCACUUUCAGUGGGGCAGAAAGCCUUGGGGCUAAUACCCUCGAGGAAGGACAUCACCCACAGAAGAAGCACCGGCUAACUCCGUGCCAGCAGCCGCGGUAAUACGGAGGGUGCGAGCGUUAAUCGGAAUUACUGGGCGUAAAGCGCGCGUAGGCGGUCUGAUAAGCCGGUUGUGAAAGCCCCGGGCUCAACCUGGGAACGGCAUCCGGAACUGUCAGGCUAGAGUGCAGGAGAGGAAGGUAGAAUUCCCGGUGUAGCGGUGAAAUGCGUAGAGAUCGGGAGGAAUACCAGUGGCGAAGGCGGCCUUCUGGACUGACACUGACGCUGAGGUGCGAAAGCGUGGGUAGCAAACAGGAUUAGAUACCCCAGUAGUC
rnacentral:rRNA from 1 species